CUGGAGGAUGCCGGAGAGCCUGGGGAGAAUUCAUAACGUUGGUUUGUAUGCAGACGACGUUUUGUCAAAUGCAAAACACGACAUGUUAUGACGUAACUGCUGUGUGUACAUUUACUUCGGAGACAGUGAACAAGAACUUUAUCAAAUAUAAACUUUUGUGUUCCCUUUCCUAAUGUAUCUAGCGUCCGACUUUCGUCAACCGUACAUGGUAAUGUUCCAGAUUAUUCACACUUUUA
rnacentral:lncRNA from 1 species